rnacentral:rRNA from 1 species
UAAUACAUGCAAGUCGAACGAACAGGCCCUUGAUUAUUGACGUGCUUGCACUGAUUUAUGAUUGGAUUUUCUGUUAGUGGCGGACGGGUGAGUAACACGUAGGUAACCUGCCUAUAAGUUGGGGAUAACCAUUAGAAAUGAUGGCUAAUACCGAAUAUGAUAUAAAGUCGCAUGGCUUAAUAUUAAAAGGCGCGUCUGCGUCGCUUAUAGAUGGACCUGCGGUGCAUUAGCUAGUUGGUGAGGUAAAGGCUCACCAAGGCCACGAUGCAUAGCCGGGCUGAGAGGCUGAACGGCCACAUUGGGACUGAGACACGGCCCAAACACCUACGGGUGGCAGCAGUAGGGAAUUUUUCGCAAUGGACGAAAGUCUGACGGAGCAAUGCCGCGUGAGGGAUGAAGGUUUUCGGAUUGUAAACCUCUGUUGUAAGGGAAGAACACUUAGUGUAGGAAAUGGCACUAAGCUGAGAGGUACCUACCAGAAA